rnacentral:lncRNA from 1 species
CGUGGGUCUCUCUGGCCUGUGGGUCUCUCUAGGCUUCUGGUCCCUCUCACCUAUGAUGAUUCUGACCUGCACUCUCCUCGAUACUCCUUUUCUGAAGACACAAAGUCUCCCCUUUCUGUGCCUCGCUCAAAAAGUGAGAUGAACUACAUUGACGGGGAGAAAGUGGUCAAGAGGUCUGCCACACUCCCCCUCCCAGCCCGCUCCUCCUCACUCAAGUCCAGCCCAGAGAGAAACGACUGGGAGCCCCCAGAUAAGAA